AUACAGAGGGUGCAAGCGUUGCUCGGAUUUACUGGGCGUAAAGCGUACGCAGACGGUCUCGCAAGUCGGGAGUGAAAGCCCUGGGCUCAACCUGGGAACUGCUUUCGAUACUACGAGUACUUGAGUUUGGGAGAGGAAAGCGGAAUUCCUGGUGUAGAGGUGAAAUUCGUAGAUAUCAGGAGGAACACCAGUGGCGAAGGCGGCUUUCUGGCCCAAUACUGACGUUCAGGUACGAAAGCGUGGGUAGCAAACAGGAUUAGAUACCCUGGUAGUCCACGCUGUAAACGAUGAGUGCUGGAUGUCGGGGGUAUUCACCCCCUCGGUAUCGAAGCUAACGCGUUAAGCACUCCGCCUGGGGAGUACGGCCGCAAGGUUGAA
rnacentral:rRNA from 1 species